AUGUCAACUAGUUGUCGGGUCUUCAUUGACUUGGUAACGUAGCUAACGCGUGAAGUUGACGCCUGGGGAGUACGGUCGCAAGAUUAAAACUCAAAGGAAUUGACGGGGACCCGCACAAGCGGUGGAUGAUGUGGAUUAAUUCGAUGCAACGCGAAAAACCUUACCUACCCUUGACAUGUAUGGAAUCCUGCUGAGAGGUGGGAGUGCCCGAAAGGGAGCCAUAACACAGGUGCUGCAUGGCUGUCGUCAG
rnacentral:rRNA from 1 species